UACGUAGGGGGCAAGCGUUGUCCGGAAUCAUUGGGCGUAAAGAGCGUGUAGGCGGUCCGAUAAGUCUGCUGUGAAAGUCCAGGGCUCAACCCUGGGAUGCCGGUGGAUACUGUCGGGCUAGAGUCCGGAAGAGGCGAGUGGAAUUCCUGGUGUAGCGGUGAAAUGCGCAGAUAUCAGGAGGAACACCAAUGGCGAAGGCAGCUCGCUGGGACGGUACUGACGCUGAGGCGCGAAAGCGUGGGGAGCGAACAGG
rnacentral:rRNA from 1 species